rnacentral:rRNA from 1 species
UAAGAUGAGAGUUUGAUCCUGGCUCAGGACGAACGCUGGCGGCGUGCCUAAUACAUGCAAGUCGAACGAGUCCUCCCAAUUUGAUUUUAUGCUUGCAUAAAUGAUUUUUGGAUUCGGGACGAGUGGCGAACUGGUGAGUAACACGUGGGUAACCUGCCCUGAAGUAGGGGAUAACAUUUGGAAACAGAUGCUAAUACCGUAUAAUUAGUUGGAACCACAUGGUUCCAACUUGAAAGAUGGCUCUGCUAUCACUUUAGGAUGGACCCGCGGCGUAUUAGCUAGUUGGUGAGAUAAAAGCUYACCAAGGCGAUGAUACGUAGCCGACCUGAGAGGGUAAUCGGCCACAUUGGGACUGAGACACGGCCCAGACUCCUACGGGAGGCAGCAGUAGGGAAUCUUCCACAAUGGACGAAAGUGAAAGUCUGAUGGAGCAACGCCGCGUGAGUGAAGAAGGGUUUCGGCUCGUAAAACUCUGUUGUUAAAGAAGAACAAGUGUAAGAGUAACUGUUUACGCUUUGACGGUAUUUAACCAGAAAGCCACGGCUAACUACGUGCCAGCAGC